rnacentral:lncRNA from 1 species
GGUAAUAGUCAGGAACUCUGGUAUAACUCAUCUUAUACCGCGGAAUUACUAGGCUGCCGGAGUGCUCUGUCGUACAUAAUUGAAAAAAGUUCAGGGAUCGGGGAACGGUAAUUACAGACUCCCGACCAGUUUACAAGGCGACAGCUUCUACUGAAAAACGAUUAUUCAACGUUCGGUUACAUCACGGAUGGUUGUAGAACUUCGAUUAGAACGAGACGAAAUGUUUCUGUUCAGUGGGUUAGACGUCUGAUCGCUCUGAAUCUCCUGUCUUCGUCCUCACUGUUAUGUACGAGAG